rnacentral:rRNA from 1 species
GGAAUUUUCGGCAAUGGGCGAAAGCCUGACCGAGCAACGCCGCGUGAGGGAAGAAGGUCUUCGGAUCGUAAACCUUUGUCAUCGGGGACGAUGAUGACGGUACCCGAGGAGGAAGCCCCGGCUAACUACGUGCCAGCAGCCGCGGUAAUACGUAGGGGGCGAGCGUUGUCCGGAAUUACUGGGCGUAAAGGGCGCGUAGGCGGUCUAAUAAGUCAGAUGUGAAAUUCUUGGGCUUAACCCAGGAUGUGCAUUUGAAACUGUUGGACUUGAGGGCAGGAGAGGAAAGCGGAAUUCCCAGUGUAGCGGUGAAAUGCGUAGAUAUUGGGAGGAACACCAGUGGCGAAGGCGGCUUUCUGGACUGCACCUGACGCUGAGGCGCGAAAGCCAGGGGAGCGAA